rnacentral:rRNA from 1 species
AGGAGCGAUCAUACCAACACUAAUGCACUGGAUCUCAUUGGAACUCUGAAGUUAUGCGCGUUUGGGCAGAGGUUUGAGGUUUCCUUCC